rnacentral:rRNA from 1 species
AUUGAACGCUGGCGGCAUGCCUUACACAUGCAAGUCGAACGGCAGCACGGGAGCAAUCCUGGUGGCGAGUGGCGAACGGGUGAGUAAUAUAUCGGAACGUGCCCCGUCGUGGGGGAUAACGCAGCGAAAGCUGUGCUAAUACCGCAUACGAUCUCUGGAUGAAAGCGGGGGACUUGAAAGAGCCUCGCGCGAUUGGAGCGGCUGAUAUCAGAUUAGCUAGUUGGUGGGGUAAAGGCCCACCAAGGCGACGAUCUGUAGCUGGUCUGAGAGGAUGACCAGCCACGCUGGAACUGAGAGACGGUGCAGACUCCUACGGGAGGCAGCAGUGGGGAAUUUUGUACAAUGGGCGCAAGCCUGAUCCAGCAAUGCCGUGUGCAGGAUGAAGGCCUUCGGGUUGUAAACUGCUUUUGUACGGAGCGAAAAAGUUCUUUUUAAUAAAGAGGGCUCCUGACGGUACCGUAAGAAUAAGCACCGGCUAACUACGUGCCAGCCGCCGCAGUAAUAC